UCGGGUGACAGGGAGACAGGUGGUGCAUGGUUGUCGUCAGCUCGUGUCGUGAGAUGUUCGGUUAAGUCCGCUAACGAGCGCAACCCUCGCUGUGUGUUAUAUGUGUCACACGGGACUGCCGGUCUUAAGCCGGAGGAAGGUGGGGAUGAUGUCAAGUCAGCAUGGCCUUUAUAUCCUGGGCUACACACACGCUACAAUGGCCAACACAAUAGGUUGCUAAGCCGCGAGGUGGCGCCAAUCCAUAAAGUUGGUCUCAGUUCAGAUUGUAGGCUGCAACCCGCCUGCAUGAAGAUGGAGUUGCUAGUAACCGCAGGUCAGCUAUACUGCGGUGAAUACGUUCCCGGGGCUU
rnacentral:rRNA from 1 species